AUUAUUUUGGCUCUGCAUGAAAGAGAUUAAACUGCUGGGGUUGUGUGGCUGAGCAGUACCAUGGUACCAGAGCCUGUUCUCCCUGUGAAGUGAAAGGGUUGGGACUGCCUGCCAAGCGUCUGAAGACUUCAGAACGGUACUUAGGAGAUUGCACCUCAAGAUGGAAGCAGUGCAAAAGCCUUUUCCCUGCAUCCCACGUCACAGGUAAAAGACUGCUGGCUCUGAGAUUUGAAGUCCUCGUUUCUUGCAUGGAAAAUUCUUUGUGGUUUUGAGCCGAGAGUCAUCAACUGGGAUUUCUUUAACAGAUAAGUUCUUUUGUACUUCAUUAAGAAACAGAGGCACUGGGUAUUUGGAUUUAAGAAUGUUGUAACUUGUUUAAUAAAAAACACCCUGUGUGUACCUGU
rnacentral:lncRNA from 7 species